rnacentral:rRNA from 1 species
GAACUGAAGAGUUUGAUCAUGGCUCAGAUUGAACGCUGGCGGCAGGCCUAACACAUGCAAGUCGAGCGGAUGAAGGGAGCUUGCUCCUGGAUUCAGCGGCGGACGGGUGAGUAAUGCCUGGGAAUCUGCCUGGUAGUGGGGGAUAACGUCCGGAAACGGGCGCUAAUACCGCAUACGUCCUGAGGGAGAAAGUGGGGGAUCUUCGGACCUCACGCUAUCAGAUGAGCCUAGGUCGGAUUAGCUAGUUGGUGGGGUAAAGGCCUACCAAGGCGACGAUCCGUAACUGGUCUGAGAGGAUGAUCAGUCACACUGGAACUGAGACACGGUCCAGACUCC